rnacentral:rRNA from 1 species
AUGCCCCGACCUCGACCCCGCGGGCGGGGCAAAACCAGAUCCGGCUCGCAAAGGAUGGAUCCCGAAGAGGGCACCACACCACCGGCUCCGGAACAGGCGGCGUGUGAUCCGUCGCAAGAAGAGAGUGCGGCGCCGGUGGACGAAGAGAGGGCAGACACUGACGCGGUAGCGGGAGAAGACCAAGGGGCGAGUGAGAACGAGGCGGAACGGACACGCGAAGAGCUCGAGCGGACGGUCACGGAGCUCAGCAUCCAGAACGAGUACCUAAAGUCCCAGAUCGCCGGUGCUCAGCAGCUGGCGAAUAGCGCCGAGGUGGGAAUAGGCAGUGGGAGGGAAGACGAGGAUGACUCCGAGCUCGUUAGGAGCUUGAAGGAGCAGGUCGAAAGGCUUAGCAAGGAGGUUCAAGAGCAAAAACAGACGCAGAAGGUUGCGGAGGCGGCCCUCGAGCACGUCAAUAUGUCCUACGCCGAGGCGGACGGCAAGGUUCAGGAGCUCACGGCGAAGCUCAACCAAGCUCAACUGAAGAUUGAAAAAGAACUAAAGGAACGAGAUGAAAAAUAUGUUGAGUUGGAUACUAAGUUCCAGAGGCUUCACAAGCGUGCGAAAAACCGUAUACAAGAUAUACAGAAGGAAAAAGAUGAUCUGGAAGCUCGGUUUAAUGAGAUUAAUCAGAAGGCUAUGGAAACUGCUUCUCUACAGCUAGCGGCACAACAGGAACUGGAACGUGCUCGUCACCAGGCUAGUGAGGCUUUACGGGCAAUGGAUGCUGAAAGACAGCAACUGCGGACUGUGAACAACAAGUUAAGAUGUAAUUUUGACGAGACACGGCUUGCUUUGGAGGCCAGGAAUAAUGCCCUUGAGAAAUUGCAACAGUCAAUGCUUGAAAAAGAGCAGAUGCUAGAACAAAUCCAAAGAUCAAUGCAGUCUGCAGAAGAAAAGAGGCAUGCAUCAGUUUCAGAGCUUUCUGCUAAGCAUCGCAAGCAAUUAGAGAGCAUGGAGGCACAGCUAGCUGAGGUUUCUGCAGAGAGGACAAAGGCAUCCGAAACGAUUCAAUCACUGCAGAUGGUACUCGCGGAGAAAGAUUCAGAAAUAACCGGAAUUGAAGCAGCAUCAACCGGUGAAGCUGCCCGGCUUAAAGCUACCUUGGAGGAGAUUAAAGGCGAGCUUACUCAUUUAAAGGACCAACAUGAAAAAGAAAGACAAAGCUGGGAAGCCGAAUGUGAAUCCCUUAGAGAAAAAUUGGAAGCAUUGGAAAGUGCGCGCUUUAGAUCUGAGAUAGAAUCUGCCAAAUUUAGAAAUCAAUUGGAAUCAGAGUUGUCAACGCAAAAUCAAUUGCUUCAAAACAAAGAUUCGAAUCUAAUUUCUGCGAAGGAGGAGAUCAGUCGACUAGAAAGUGAGUUUUCCGCGUACAAGAUCCGUGCACAUGCACUUCUGCAAAGGAAGGAUGCUGAGUUGAGCGCAGCUCAAAAUUCAGAUGUUCUUAAAGCACAUGAAGAAGCAAUAAGAGAAGCUGAAAAGGAGGUGGCAGCUGCCUUAGAAGAACGAGAUGAAGCGAUCCAGGACCUUCAAGUUGCUCAAUGCAGGCAUAGUGAAGAGAUUGAGGCAAGGGAUUUGGGUCUUGCGGAGUUGGACAAAAAACUGAAGAAUGUCAUGAAAAAAUUAGAUUAUGUUACCUCUCAAUUUCUCUCAGAAAAAGAAUCAUGGGAGAAAAAAUUGGCAAGUGUAGAGGAAAGCUGGAGAUUAAAAUGUGAGUCUAUGAAGGGUCAAAGCAAUGGCCAUGUUGAAGACCACCUUCAGAAGAACCUAGGGGAAUGGACACUGAAGUAUGAGAAAUUGAAGGAAGAGCAUGAAUCGUUCCGUGAUAUUUCUGAUAGAAUGAUUGAAGAGAAGGAACGGGAGAUAGCUAAACUUCUCAACGCAAACAAGGAUCUUCAUCAUUCUUUAGAGGCUAAAGCAGCAGUCAGCAAACGUGACAAUCAAAGUCCAGGAUAUAUUAAACAGGAUGCACUAAGUAUUGAAUUGGCUGAGCAGCAAAUUCUGCUUCUUGCACGGCAACAAGCACAAAGGGAAGAAGAAUUGAGUCAGUCACAUAGGCAUAUCUUGGCGCUUCAACAAGAAGUUGAAGAUCUUGAGCGUGAAAACCGUCUUCAUGAUCAACAGGAAGCAAUGUUGAAGGCUGAGCUUCGGAAUAUGGAGAGAUCACAAAAGCGAGAAGGAGUAGAUAUGACAUACCUAAAAAAUGUAAUCUUAAAGCUUCUUGAAACAGGGGAGGUGGGGGCCUUGCUGCCUGUGGUUGCGAUGCUACUACAGUUCAGCCCUGACGAGCUCAAUAAAUGCCAACAUGGCGUCCUCUCAAAUGUCGCUUCCUUACCAGCUACAGCAUUGUCAGAUGGUGGAUCGACACCAAACUCAUUCUUUGGAAGAUUCACAUUCUAA